UUGUUCAUUUCAGCAGCUUAAAUAUCAAAAUGUGAACGACACAGAGAAGAUAAGCAUGGCCUCUGCAUCAGAAUCGCUAGCAAAUCUGGGCAGCAAGACAGAAACAAAUUUAU
ensembl:snRNA U6 U6 spliceosomal RNA